rnacentral:rRNA from 1 species
GGUUUGAUCUUGGCUCAGAUUGAACGCUGGCGGCAGGCCUAACACAUGCAAGUCGGGCGGUAGAGAGAAGCUUGCUUCUCUUGAGAGCGGCGGGACGGGUGAGUAAUGCCUAGGAAUCUGCCUGGUAGUGGGGGAUAACGCUCGGAAACGGACGCUAAUACCGCAUACGUCCUACGGGAGAAAGCAGGGGACCUUCGGGCCUUGCGCUAUCAGAUGAGCCUAGGUCGGAUUAGCUAGUUGGCGAGGUAAUGGCUCACCAAGGCGACGAUCCGUAACUGGUCUGAGAGGAUGAUCAGUCACACUGGAACUGAGACACGGUCCAGACUCCUACGGGAGGCAGCAGUGGGGAAUAUUGGACAAUGGGCGAAGGCCUGAUCCAGCCAUGCCGCGUGUGUGAAGAAGGUCUUCGGAUUGUAAAGCACUUUAAGUUGGGAGGAAGGGCAGUAAAUUAAUACUUUGUCUGUUUGACGUUACCGACAGAAUAAGCACGGCUAACUCUGUGCCAGCAGCCG